rnacentral:lncRNA from 1 species
AGAGAAAAAGGGGUUGGUAACUGGUUAAUGACUGUUGUCCCAAUAAAGUUAAUAUUGAAAGACUGUGGGACACUGCCAUGAAUGUGGUACUCAAAAUAUAUUUAAAUCAGGAUUUUAAAGCCCCCACUCUUGGAGAGUGGUACUUUUCAUAUUCGAAUAAUUUUAUUUUUCUUUGGGAAAAGAUGAUAAGACAUGAAUGUUUAUGUGUAAGGAAAACAUCAGUAUUAAGAAAAUGGGUUUAUUUAAUUGAUUUAUUAAAUUGGUUUAUUGCAGUUUUUAUUUACAGAGAACAUUGCUUGUUUUUCCCUCCCUCUUCCUGUCCUCCCCUUCUCAAAUUAAGAAGUAGAU